CAAUAGCGUAUAUUAAAGUUGUUGCAGUUAAAAAGCUCGUAGUUGGAUUUCGGGGUGACCUGCCUGGUCCACCGCAAGGUGAGUACUGGUCAGCCGCCCUUCCUCUCGAAAGCCCCGACUGCUCUUCAUUGCAGUGGUCGGGUAGUUCGGGACGUUUACUUUGAAAAAAUUAGAGUGUUCAAGGCAGGCUCUCGCCUGAAUACAUUAGCAUGGAAUAAUGGAAGAGGACCUCGGUCCUAUUUUGUUGGUUUCUAGGGCCGAAGUAAUGAUUAAGAGGGACAGUUGGGGGCAUUCGUAUUUAAUUGUCAGAGGUGAAAUUCUUGGAUUUAUGAAAGACGAACUAGUGCGAAAGCAUUUGCCAAGGAUGUUUUCAUUAA
rnacentral:rRNA from 1 species